CGUGGGCAGGUGGGCGACCCUUGGGGGGCAUGGGCAGUGGAGCAGCCACCGGCCCUGACCUGGACCACGUGCUGGGCGCCUCCUGGCAGCCCGUUCUGCUCCCGAAUGCCCCGGCUUAGUCAGUCUGGGAUGCGGCCCUGGACACCGGGCUUUAUGCAGCUCUGAAGUGAUCCCAGCACACAGCCCGGGUCAAGCUCAGCGCUCGGCAACCAUAGGCACCCAACAACGGGCUGCAGCCAUCAGUAACAACGGCAGCUCCAACGCCCAGAGAACUCACGGAGCAGACACACAUCAGAUGAAGACGCGGAGGCCUGAGCGCUGGGGGUCGCCCGGGGCUGCACAGCGGGUCAGAGGCCAACCCUGGGCGGAGCCAGGCCACACCCUCCCUCAAGGAUUCACAGUCUCCCCAAAGUAACCGCAACGAGGGACCCUCCCGUCACCAAACUUCCUUUCAGUCACUUCCGCUUGUACUAAUUCUGGCCCAACCGUUCAUUAUAUUUUUACAAUUCUUAUCUUGGUGUGUAUUUUUUGACCCUAAAAAUCCUA
rnacentral:lncRNA from 1 species